rnacentral:piRNA from 1 species
UCACCAUGACCUUGAACUCCCAAGUCUU